AGGGCGUACGGUGGAUGCCUAGGCACUUGGAACUGAAGAAGGACGCAACAAACGGCGAAACGCGACGGGGAGUGGUACGUACACAAAGAUCCGUCGAUAUCCGAAUGGGGAAACCCGGCAGCAGUAAUGAGCUGUCACCCAUGAGUGAAUACAUAGCUCAUGAGGGAGGUACCCGGAGAACUGAAACAUCUAAGUAUCCGGAGGAAAAGAAAAUAAGAAUGAUUCCGUAAGUAGCGGCGAGCGAACGCGGAGGAGCCCAAACCAGAUCUUGAUCUGGGGUUGUAGGACCACGAAAUGGCAAGAGCAUGGCUAAGAGAACGGCAUUGAAAGGCCGACCGGAGAGGGUGCAAGUCCCGUAACUGAAAGUCUAGCGAAGCCUAGUGGUAUCCUGAGUACGGCGAGACACGAGAAAUCUUGUCGGAAGCAGGCGGGACCAUCCGUCAAGGCUAAAUAUACCCAAGUGACCGAUAGUGAACCAGUACCGUGAGGGAAAGGUGAAAAGAACCGCGGGAGCGGAGUGAAAUAGAACCUGAAACCGUAUGCUUACAAGAAGUCAGAGCCCGUUAAAGGGUGAUGGCGUGCCUUUUGUAGAAUGAACCGGCGAGUUACGUUAUCGUGCGAGGUUAAGUAGAAGAUACGGAGCCGAAGCGAAAGCGAGUCUUAAUAGGGCGACAGUACGAUGAUGUAGACCCGAAACCGUGUGAUCUAGCCAUGACCAGGUUGAAGUUCAGGUGAAACUGAAUGGAGGACCGAACCGACCCCCGUUGAAAAGUUGGCGGAUGAGUUGUGGCUAGGGGAGAAAUUCCAAUCGAACACGGAUAUAGCUGGUUCUCCCCGAAAUAGCUUUAGGGCUAGCGUCGAGGUAGAGUCGCAUGGAGGUAGAGCACUGAAUGUACGAUGGCCCCAUCCCGGGGUACUGAGUAUAAUCAAACUCCGAAUGCCAUGCAGACAUACUCGGCAGUCAGACUGUGGGUGAUAAGGUCCAUGGUCAAAAGGGAAACAGCCCAGACCGCCAGUUAAGGUCCCAAAAUGUAUGCUAAGUGGAAAAGGAUGUGGGGAUGCACAGACAACUAGGAGGUUGGCUCAGAAGCAGCCAUCCUUCAAAGAGUGCGUAACAGCUCACUAGUCGAGUGACCCUGCGCCGAAAAUGUACCGGGGCUAAGCAUACUACCGAAGCUGCGGAUUUGCAGUGAUGCAAGUGGUAGGGGAGCGUUGCAUGCACGUAGAAGCCGUACCGUAAGGAGCGGUGGAGAGCAUGGAAGAGAGAAUGCCGGUGUGAGUAGCGAGAUGUAGGUGAGAAUCCUACACACCGAUAGCCCAAGGAUUCCAGGGGAAGGUUCGUCCGCCCUGGGUAAGUCGGGACCUAACGCGAGGCCGAAAGGCGUAGUGGAUGGAAAACAGGCAGAUAUUCCUGUACCCGCGAUGGAAAUGAAGGAAUGACGGAGAAGGCUAGUGUGAGCCACUGAAUGGAUUGUGGUCGAAGCAUAUAGCAGGCUGACAGUGAAAUGCGUCAGCGGGAUGUAAGAUGUGACAGGUAAGGGAACGUCCUCGGACAAGUACUGAAGCACAUGAUGCCAGCUUCCAAGAAAAGUUUCUAGUGAUAAUUCCAUAGCGGCCCGUACCAAAACCGACACAGGUGGGCAAGGAGAGAAUCCUGAGGUGAGCGAGAGAACUGUUGCCAAGGAACUCGGCAAAAUGACUCCGUAAGUUAGCGAUAAGGAGUGCUCUUGUAAAAGAGAGCCGCAGUGAAGAGGCCCAAGCGACUGUUUAACUAAAACACAGCUCUCUGCAAAGUCGCAAGACGAAGUAUAGGGGGUGACGCCUGCCCGGUGCUGGAAGGUUAAGAGGAUUUGUCAUCCGCAAGGAGAAGCAAUGAAUUGAAGCCCCAGUGAACGGCGGCCGUAACUAUAACGGUCCUAAGGUAGCGAAAUUCCUUGUCAGGUAAGUUCUGACCCGCACGAAAGGCGUAACGAUUUGGGCGCUGUCUCGGCAGCAGACUCGGUGAAAUCUUAGUACCUGUGAAAAUGCAGGUUACCCGCAACUAGACGGAAAGACCCCAUGGAGCUUUACUGUAGCCUGAUAUUGAAUUUUGAUCAAAGAUGUACAGGAUAGGUGGGAGGCGAAGAAGAUUGCACGCCAGUGUAGUCAGAGCCGCUGUUGGGAUACCACUCUUGUUUGAUUGAAGUUCUAACCUGCACCCAUGAACUGGGUGAGGGACCGUGUCAGGUGGGCAGUUUGACUGGGGCGGUCGCCUCCUAAAGAGUAACGGAGGCGCCCAAAGGU
rnacentral:rRNA from 1 species